rnacentral:rRNA from 1 species
GUGUUAGCAGCCGCGGUAAGACAGAGGGUGCAAACGUUGUUCGGAUUUACUGGGCGUAAAGCGCGUGUAGGCGGCUUGGCAAGUUGGAUGUGAAAGCCCACGGCUCAACCGUGGAAGAGCAUCCAAAACUGCUUCGCUCGAGUCUCGGAGAGGAAGGUGGAGUGCUUGGUGUAGAGGUGAAAUUCGUAGAUAUCAAGCAGAACACCUGCGGCGAAGGCGGCCUUCUGGACGAUGACCGACGCUGAGACGCGAAAGCGUGGGGAGCAAACAGGAUUAGAAACCCUAGUAGUCC